rnacentral:rRNA from 1 species
GACGAACGCUGGCGGCGUGCUUAACACAUGCAAGUCGAGCGGAAAGGCUCCUUCGGGGGUACUCGAGCGGCGAACGGGUGAGUAACACGUGAGUAAUCUGCCCUUGGCUUCGGGAUAGCCACCGGAAACGGUGAUUAAUACCGGAUAUGACCACUCUAGGCAUCUAGUGGUGGUGGAAAGUUUUUUCGGCCAGGGAUGUGCUCGCGGCCUAUCAGCUUGAUGGUGAGGUAAUGGCUCACCAUGGCUUCGACGGGUAGCCGGCCUGAGAGGGUGACCGGUCACACUGGGACUGAGACACGGCCCAGACUCCUACGGGAGGCAGCAGUGGGGAAUAUUGGACAAUGGGCGGAAGCCUGAUCCAGCAACGCCGCGUGAGGGAUGACGGCCUUCGGGUUGUAAACCUCUUUCGGUAGGGACGAAGCGCAAGUGACGGUACCUACUAAAGAAGCACCGGCCAACUACGUGCCAGCAGCCGCCGUAACAC